ensembl:lncRNA
CAUGUGGGCUGGAAUUGUAUAUUUCCCUUCCCCAUGUCAGUUAGGCUCUAACAGUAUAGCAGGUUAGAUUUGGUUAUUAGUUUCUCCUGAGGCAGACCUUAUUAAGAACAGAGUAACCUGGCAUAUUUCCAAAUUGUUCCUUUUCCCUUCUUUUUGCAGGAAGCAGAGGGGCUUCUUUCUUCAGUGUUUACUGUGGGAACCUGGUCAACCUCCUGGAAGUAAAUCUCCCAAUAUUGCAGGGUACCCCCUUCACCAGCAGCUGGUUCUUUAUGAAGUUUUUAACUCUCAAGAGUUGGCCACACUGGGCCUUCAGCAACUCGUCAACUGCAGUUUCAGUUUUCCUACCAUGGGAUUUGUUCCUGGGGCAGCUUCAUUCUUGAGUGUCUGCUCUGGCAGUUGUGAGGAGCAAAGAAUGUUGGAAGGGAAAGAAGAGUAGAUGAUCUGGCCAGAAGUGCUCGGUGUCGAGAGGAUCCUGCAUGACUCCUGGUGACAGACACACUGGCUAAAUGCUGAGAGAAACUAUGACAAGCUAUGUCACUGGCAUAGCUUCCCUCAAGGAAGACUUGAAAACAACAGAACACAUCAGAGAUGCC